GGUAAGGGCGCUUUUAUUAGACCAAGACCACACGCCCGGUUUACCCGGGAGUUAUCCUGACGAAACUAAAUAACAUAUCAGAUCGCAUAGUCUACGCACUGGCGACCUAUCUUUCAAAUGCCUGACUUAUCAACUGACGAUGGUAGACUCCAAGUCUACCAUGGUUCUCACGGGUAACGGGGAAUCUGGGUUCGAUUCCGGAGAGGGAGCCUGAGAAACGGCUACCACAUCCAAGGAAGGCAGCAGGCACGCAAAUUACCCACUCCCGGCACGGGGAGGUAGUGACAAAAAAUAACGAUACGGAACUCGUAAUGAGGCUCCGUAAUCGGAAUGAGUACACUUUAAAUCCUUUAACAAGGAUCCAUUGGAGGGCAAGUCUGGUGCCAGCAGCCGCGGUAAUUCCAGCUCCAAUAGCGUAUAUUAAAGUUGUUGCGGUUAAAAAGCUCGUAGUCGGUUCUGCGUCCCACGCUGCCGGGACACCGUUUGUCGGUGAUUCUGGCAUGCCGUGUGAUGUCCUGUCGGUGGUGACCGGGGCCUUGGUUUCGUCGGGCUUGUUCCGGCGUUCCUUGGCUCUCCGGUCACCGACGCCUAUCCUACCGCGGUGCUCUUAACCGAGUGUCGAGGUAGGCCGACACAUUUACUUUGAACAAAUUAGAGUGCUUAAAGCAGGCUAAAAUAUCUGCCUGAAUAUUUGUGCAUGGAAUAAUGGAACAGGCCCUUGGUUCUAUUCCGUUGGUCUUAGGAACACAAGGACAUGAUCAAUAUGGACGGUCGGGGGCAUUCGUAUUGCGGCCACAGCGAUCCGCCGAUGUUCCUCCGAUGACUCCGGCGGGGAAGCUCCCCCCGGGAAACCAAAGCUUUUGGGUUCCGGGGGUAGUAUGGUUGCAAAGCUGAAACUUAAAGGAAUUGACGGAAGGGCACCACCAGGAGUGGAGCCUGCGGCUUAAUUUGACUCAACACGGGAAACCUCACCAGGUCAGGACAUUGGGAUGAUUGACAGAUUGAUAGCUCUUUCUUGAUUCAGUGGGUAGUGGUGCAUGGCCGUUCUUAGUUGGUGGAUCGAUUUGUCUGGUUAAUUCCGAUAACGAACGAGACUCUGACCUAUUAAAUAGACGUUUCUGGUAUCGUAGCUACCAGCGACAAAUAUUCUUCUUAAGGGGACAGGCGGCUUUUAGCCGCACGAGAUUGAGCAAUAACAGGUCUGUGAUGCCCUUAGAUGUCCUGGGCCGCACGCGCGCUACACUGAAGGAAUCAGCGUGUGCUUUCCCUUGGCCGAAAGGUCCGGGUAACCCGCUGAACCUCCUUCGUGCUAGGAAUUGGGGCUUGAAAUUGUUCCCCAUGAACGAGGAAUUCCCAGUAAGCGCGAGUCAUAAGCUCGCGUUGAUUACGUCCCUGCCCUUUGUACACACCGCCCGUCGCUACUACCGAUUGAAUGAUUUAGUGAGGUCUUCGGACUGGCGGAAAACCCGACCGACUCGUUCGGUUUUGGUCGAACGCUGGAAAGAUG
rnacentral:rRNA from 1 species